GGGAGUUUAGUCUAGAGGUAUGAUACUUGCUUUGGGUGCAAGUGGUCCUGGGUUCGAUCCCCAGAACUCCCC